rnacentral:rRNA from 1 species
UAGGGAAUCUUCGGCAAUGGGGGCAACCCUGACCGAGCAACGCCGCGUGAGUGAAGAAGGUUUUCGGAUCGUAAAGCUCUGUUGUAAGAGAAGAACGUGUGUGAGAGUGGAAAGUUCACACAGUGACGGUAACUUACCAGAAAGGGACGGCUAACUACGUGCCAGCAGCCGCGGUAAUACGUAGGUCCCGAGCGUUGUCCGGAUUUAUUGGGCGUAAAGCGAGCGCAGGCGGUUUAAUAAGUCUGAAGUUAAAGGCAGUGGCUUAACCAUUGUUCGCUUUGGAAACUGUUAAACUUGAGUGCAGAAGGGGAGAGUGGAAUUCCAUGUGUAGCGGUGAAAUGCGUAGAUAUAUGGAGGAACACCGGUGGCGAAAGCGGCUCCCUGGUCUGUAACUGACGCUGAGGCUCGAAAGCGUGGGGAGCAAACAGG